GCCUUAGCCGAAUUGGUAAGGCAAUUGACUUGUAAUCAAUAGAUUCCGGGUUCGAGUCCUGGAGG
rnacentral:tRNA from 1 species